rnacentral:rRNA from 1 species
CUACGGGAUGCAGCAGUGGGGAAUAUUGGACAAUGGGCGAAAGCCUGAUCCAGCAAUGCCGCGUGAGUGAUGAAGGCCUUAGGGUUGUAAAGCUCUUUUACCCGGGAUGAUAAUGACAGUACCGGGAGAAUAAGCUCCGGCUAACUUCGUGCCAGCAGCCGCGGUAAUACGAGGGGAGCUAGCGUUGUUCGGAAUUACUGGGCGUAAAGCGCACGUAGGCGGCUUUGUAAGUAAGGGGUGAAAGCCCAGAGCUCAACUCUGGAAUUGCCUUUGAGACUGCAUCGCUUGAAUCCAGGAGAGGUGAGUGGAAUUCCGAGUGUAGAGGUGAAAUUCGUAGAUAUUCGGAAGAACACCAGUGGCGAAGGCGGCUCACUGGACUGGUAUUGACGCUGAGGUGCGAAAGCGUGGGGAGCAAACAGGAUUAGAUACCCGUGUAGUC